rfam:Xenopus tropicalis strain Nigerian Chr04_contig_3360, whole genome shotgun sequence.
ACUUAGCCUUGGAAUGACACGAUCACUCCCGUUGAGCCGAAACUCACAGCGCCAUCGGGAAUAUCGUGUCGCUCCAAAGCUCUCU